GCGGGCGUGGUGGAAUCGGUAGACACGCAAGACUUAAAAUCUUGUUUCCGUAAGGAAGUGCCGGUUCAAGUCCGGCCGCCCGCACCA
rnacentral:tRNA from 2 species